ensembl:lncRNA
CAUUAUUGUGUAUUUGUCAUUAUUUAAAAAAAACUUAAUAUUUACAUGACUUUCUCUUUCAGCAAGGAAUGUGAUAACAACGAACUGCAACAAAAAUUGGCCAAGACCAUUUUGGAAAUUAUGAAUUAUAAUGGGAAGCCCCAAUGUGUCAGACACUCCCCAAAGUGGAAGACGACUCAUCUAGCGACAGUGGUGAUGAAGGGGGGCUAUGGUUUACAGCUCGUAUUACAUAUGAAGAUGACGAUUUCAAUAAGCCAGCUCUCACAAGAAAUCUUGGCAAAGAAGGCACACCAGAUUGUCAUCAAAGGUGAGCUUCCAUUCUUGCCCAAAACUUUAUUACAAUUAGCUCUGUAGUGAGAACCUAGACA